rnacentral:rRNA from 1 species
GACGAACGCUGGCGGCGUGCUUAACACAUGCAAGUCGAACGGAAAGGCCUGCUUUCCCCUGUGGAUUGCGGGUACUCGAGUGGCGAACGGGUGAGUAACACGUGAGUGAUCUGCCCCCAACUUGGGUAUAAGCCUGGGAAACUGGGUCUAAUUCCCGAUAGGACUGCAGGGUGGUGCCUGUGGUGGAAAACGAUUUUCUAGUGGUUGGGGAUGAGCUCGCGGCCUAUCAGCUUGUUGGUGGGGUAAUGGCCUACCAAGGCGGCGACGGGUAGCCGGCCUGAGAGGGUGGACGGCGACAUUGGGACUGAGAUACGGCCCAGACUCCUACGGGAGGCAGCAGUGGGGAAUAUUGCACAAUGGGCGGAAGCCUGAUGCAGCGACGCCGCGUGGGGGAUGACGGCCUUCGGGUUGUAAACUCCUUUCGACCGCGAGGAAGCCACCUGGUUGGAAGGGUGGUGACGGUAGUGGUAGAAGAAGCACCGGCUAACUACGUG